rnacentral:rRNA from 1 species
UACGGAGGUCUCAAGCGUUGUUCGGAAUCAUUGGGCGUAAAGGGUGCGUAGGCGGCGCGGUAAGUCGGGUGUGAAAUCUCGGGGCUUAACUCCGAAACUGCAUUCGAUACUGCCGUGCUUGAGGACUGGAGAGGAGACUGGAAUUUACGGUGUAGCGGUGAAAUGCGUAGAUAUCGGAAGGAAGACCAGUGGCGAAGGCGGGUCUCUGGACAGUUCCUGACGCUGAGGCACGAAGGUCAGGGGAGCAAACGGG